AGAAAGAGGCGACCUUCCAACCCUCUCCCCCUCAAAACCCGCCAAGCUUGCUCGGAGCGAGCUGCUGCCUUGUUCGGAAGGCGCGCGGCGGGAGGCGCGCGCGGCGCAGUUCCAUUGGCAAAGCUCCCUCCCACUCCUUCCCAACCCAACCCAAGUUGUGGGCGGGGCCUUGCACUACUCAAAAUGGCAAAAGAAUGCAGUGUUUGUGCGUGAGCGACUUAUUCACCUGAAACUCGCCCGGCGGCAACAAACAGGUUGUUCCUGCAAUUCUUCCAAGGCGAGAGCGCGCGCUUUUAAAGCGACAAGGCUCUGUUUCGAGGGCAAGACACUCUGGCCUCUGCCAUCAGUCAGGAGAUCAACGGCUAUUGGGAAGCUGCUCCCUCCACCCUCCAGGAAGAACAUCAUGGCAAAGGGGAGACUAACUGGCCCCAUCUAUUACCCACAGAAGGAGCAGCUGCAAGGAGCUUGUUUCACCCCUGUAAGAAACUCUGUAACUAAGAACUAGUGUCCCAAGUUUUCUUUCCCCCCUCUUCCCUCUCAAUUCCUUUCCUUUUGUGUCAUGUCUCAGAUUGUAAGCCUGAGGGAGGGGUCCGUCCGUCUUAUUGUUGAGAGUCACUCUGGGAGCCUUAUUUUUUAGCUAAGGAACAUGUUUUGUGGGACCCGUCUCCUUUUCUGAAUCUAUAUACUAUUCUGUUCGACGUGGAAUUGUUUUAUAAUUGUAAUGGUUUAAUCUGUUGUUAUAAUUGCAUAUUCUAUUGCCACAACCACCCUGGGAUCUUGUAGUGAAGGGUGGGUAAGAAAUCUUAUAAAUAAAAUACUGGGUUUUUUUUCA